GACAAGCACCGCUACUUCCCUCUUUGCUGCACGUACGCCUCUGCGCAUGCCCAGAGCUCGGGUCCGCCAGUCCGCGGAACACGGUUUUGUUACCAAAAAACUACAUUUCCCAGAAGUCGGCGCGAGCAGGCGGGGCUUCACCGCCGGAGAGGAGGGGAGCGGCGCUCGAGUGGACUCUGAGUUUGUGACCUCUUUCUUUUAUUUAAACACAAAAAUGGUGUAUCCGCACGCAGGAUCGCGCGGCCGGGGCAGACCUGGUGCGGAUGGACCAGCGCGGCCCGGCCCCUUAAAAGGUUCAGGAGCCCGGUGUGUCCCACGCUGUGGGCCCGGCCGCGCUCGGGGGCCGGGCCGGGCCUGCCUGGCCGGUGAGGAUUUGCACCAGCAGGUCGGUGGCUAGCAUGUGAGAUGGCUCCUCGAAGCCGAUGGUCAGCAGCUGCUGGUAAUCUCCGGACGGCUGCGGGCACAAAAUCCUGGGGGCCCAGGACAGACAGGGCUGGACGUGAGCGCCCUCUGCUUUUCGAGAGCCUCUCCCCUUGGGUGAGAGGCUGGGACUGAAAGAGGCUUUGUCUCAGCUGGUGGGGGAAGUGGUUUCCUUGUGGAUGAGAAACCUAGAGGGCACUAGUUCUGGGAGACUGAACUAUGCAUCCCCCAUUUGACCAAUCAUCUAGCUGCUGUGUGCCCUUGGGCAGGUAACCCCUCUGGGCACCUGUUUCCUUCUUUGUAAAAAUGGGCUGUAGUAGUAUCGACCUAAAUGGGUUUCACAUAAAGCAGUUUUCAGAACAUAA